rnacentral:rRNA from 1 species
ACGCUAGCGGCGCGCUUAUGCAUGCAAGUCGAGCGAUGAGACUCCUACGGGAGCACAUCAGCGGCAGACGGGUGAGUAACACGUAGAUGACGUACCCUCAAGACGGGGAUAACGGAUGGAAACAUGCGCUAAUACCGGAUGACCUUACGAUGUCAGAAUGGUAAGGAAAGCUACGGCGCUUGAGGAGCGGUCUGCGGCCCAUCAGCUAGUUGGUAGGGUAAAGGCCUACCAAGGCGAAGACGGGUAGGGGGUGUGAGAGCACGGNCCCCCACAAUGGGACUGAGACACGGCCCAUACUCCUACGGGAGGCAGCAGCAGGGAAUAUUGCACAAUGGACGGAAGUCUGAUGCAGCGACGCCGCGUGAGUGAAGAAGGCCUUCGGGUUGUAAAACUCUUUUGAGGGGGAAGAGCGAGGACGGUACCCCUGGAAUAAGCGUCGGCUAACUACGUGCCAGCAGCCGCGGUAAGACGUAGGACGCGAGCGUUAUCCGGAUUUACUGGGCGUAAAGCGUCUGUAGGCGGAUGUGUAAGUUGGGCGUGAAAGCUCCGGGCUUAACCCGGAGAGGCCGUUCAAUACUGCAUAACUUGAGGGUGUCAGAGGGGAGCGGAAUUCCCGGUGUAGCGGUAAAAUGCGCAGAGAUCGGGAGGAACACCAGUGGCGGAGGCGGUUCCCUGGGGCACACCUGACGCUGAGAGACGAAAGCUAGGGGAGCGAACAGGAUUAGAGACCCUGGUAGUCCUAAGCCCUAAACGAUGAAUGCUAGGUGUGGGAUCGAAUGGUUCCCGUGCCGGAGCGAACGCGAUAAGCAUUCCGGCUGGGGAGUACGGCCGCAAGGUUAGAACUCAAACGAAUUGACGGGGCCCCGCACAAGCAGCGGAGCGUGUGGUUUAAUUCGAUGCUACACGUAGUACCUUUACCUGGGUUUUCUAUGUAGGUGGUAGUGAAUCGUUAGGUGUUCGACCCUUCGGGGAGCCUACUCUGGUGCUGCAUGGCUGUCGUCAGCUCGUGCCGUGAGGGUGUCGGGUUAAGUCCCGUAACGUGCGCUACCCCUGUUUUCAGUUGCCUGCACGUAAUGGUGGGGACUCUGGUUAGACUGCCGGCGUAAGCCGCGAGGAAGGUGGGGAUGACGUCAGGUCAUCAUGGCCUUUAUGCCUAGGGCUACACACGUGCUACAAUGGUAGGGACAGAGGGCAGCUAAGCCGCGAGGUGGAGCCAAUCCCAGAUACCCUAUCUCAGUUCGGAUUGAAGUCUGGUACUCGACUUCAUGAAGGUGGAAUCGCUAGUAAUCGCGCAUCAGCCAUGGCGCGGUGUAUACGUUCCCGGACAUUGUACACACCGCCCGUCA